GAACUGAAGAGUUUGAUCCUGGCUCAGAUUGAACGCUGGCGGCAUGCUUUACACAUGCAAGUCGAACGGCAGCACGGGCUUCGGCCUGGUGGCGAGUGGCGAACGGGUGAGUAAUACAUCGGAACGUACCCAGAAGUGGGGGAUAACGCAGCGAAAGUUGCGCUAAUACCGCAUACGUUCUACGGAAGAAAGUGGGGGAUCUUCGGACCUCA
rfam:Massilia sp. LC238 contig23, whole genome shotgun sequence.